AGGAGGUAAAAGCCCUUUUGUGUCAAUGUAGAGUUAUGUUUGUGUCGCAGAUAGUGUUAAGGGUCCAAGAGUGUAACAAUUCUUGGGUUCUUAAGAUUGUCCCAUCAUUUGGUCUAACUAUUUAUCUUGUAUCUUAUUAAAUCUGUUGGUUACUUGUUGUUGUUAAUGUGCCCGUAACUUUUUUGUUAUUUAUGUGUUGACAUAGUGAAGCCGUGUGGGGCCUUUUCAAUUUACUAUAGUCCUCGUAACCUUGUACUCUCUAUCUACUUUAUUGAAUAUUGUUGUUAUUGUCUUAAAAAC
rnacentral:lncRNA from 1 species